CUUCUCAAGAAGCCAGAAAAAGGAGAUGAACUGGCCAGUGAAAAGCACAAAGAAAAAGGUGAAGAAGCUGACACUGAAGAAAACAAAUGGGAUAAAUCACCUGGAUCUGGAAGUAUAAUAUCCAAAUCUUUGGAGAGCUCACUAAAAGAACUUAGGGAAAAGUCACAAAAUGAUAGUGACAAAGAGCAAAGAGAUUUGGAGAGAAGAUUUCGAGAAAAAGAACCUGAAAGACAAAGGUAUCGACUGGAUGAUGGCAGAAAGCAUAGAACUCACUAUGAGUUUGACAAGUUUAUGAGAAGGAAUGAAGAAGAGCUGAAAUGGGGGAAAGGAUACAAUCAAGACAGAGGAAAGAAAGGGAACUACAGCUACAGCUUCACUGUGGAGGCAAUAGACAAACUGGGAUCGUCCAGCCAUGCAGUUGUACCAGCCAGGAGCUCGCAUCCGAACACAUAUGGGGCCUACAAGUAAAACCUAUGACUGCAGCGGGAAAUCCUUUGAAGAUGCUCUUGAUAAAAAGUAUGAGGCAGAUAAUUCAGCUGGAGCUAGUUCUGAAAAGACUGAAGAAGCAGAAUAAAACAAUCUGGGGGAAAAGGCAUGUGAAAAGGAAUGAAUUUAAGAUUCAGCGUCAUCACAAAAAAUCCAUUGGGCUGUUUCAGAACUCCGCAGGCAAUUGUAUCAACAAAAUAAUAAUAGAUCUGCCUCUUACUUUCUGUAAAAUAAAGGGAAGAGCGACUGAAGAUACAUAAAAUAUCUUACCACAAAAGGGUGUUGUUGCUUUUUUACAAAAAGCAGCUCAAGUGCUCUUUGCCUAAUUUAAAAGCAGUUCAAAAAUUUUAUUAGAUUUACCUUGAAAUAGAAGACCCUCUAACAAUUUUAAAGGAGUAUUUAUAUAAGACUUUACAGAAGCUAUGUCAUCUUUUUGAGUCUAAAGAAAUGAAAUGUAAAUUUGCAUCAGUUUGAAAUCUGAGGCACUUUACAUGUAUUUGGUGCAUGACAUGAGGGUCCAGAGGACCCCCUCCUGCAAAUGGCAGGGGCUGCUGCAGGGUGUUGCAGUCAGACUUGGUGGGACCAGCCCUGAGACAAAGCUCUGGAACCAGUGGUGUUUGUAGGAUGAGGCCCACAGUUUGCACAGUUGUGAGGAAUGUCCAGUGGUAUCUGUACCUCAUGGUGUUUACAUUGGUUUUCAAUUAACCAUAGUGUCAGAUAAGUGUUAGUAAAGCUACAAGUAUGUUGUUGGAGAGUUUGUCAUUUUCUGAGCCACUUUUGCCUUUUAUGUUUUAAUAGAUUCCUUGUGCUUAAAACAGAAGACAGCUAAUGCAAACAUCAGCACGUUAACAAUAAAUCUGGUUUUAAUUAAUUAGCUGUUUUUUAUUGUUCUGACACUGACUUUUGGACAAAAAAGAAGUGGUUGUACAGUGAUGACUUUUUAUAUGCCAAUGUUUCAUAUAAGUUGCAGUAACAGGAUUUGGAAGAUGUAAGAUACACAAACAUUCUGCAGUUUUAUUUGUUAAAAAAUUAAACACAUAUGAAUGUCAANGUGCUCAUUCUGCACCUGCACCAGAGAUCACCUGUGUGUGUGUGUGUGUGUGUCUGUCUUCUGUUGGUUUCAGUGAUUGACAUGUGUUUAUGAAAGGGCACAAUAUCUUCAUAGCUGAAAAUUUCCCAGUUGUCUGAAACUGAGGGCUGCUUAGUCAUUGAAGUUAAAUAGCAAGAUAUUAAUUUAUUUUUACAUCCUCUCUGAACAUUUUAUUAUUAAGCAUAACAUCUAAUUGUCCUAGACUGAAAAUUAUUUAUUGUAUUUUACCAGAUACUAAGCAUUAAAUAGAAUAAAAGCAAAAAA
rnacentral:lncRNA from 1 species